GACGAACGCUGGCGGCGUGCCUAAUACAUGCAAGUCGAACGAGAGCGACCGGUGCUUGCACUGGUCAAUCUAGUGGCGAACGGGUGAGUAACACGUGGGUAACCUGCCCAUCAGAGGGGGAUAACAUCCGGAAACGGAUGCUAAAACCGCAUAGGUCUUCGAACCGCAUGGUUUGAAGAGGAAAAGAGGCGCAAGCUUCUGUUGAUGGAUGGACCCGCGCUGCAUUAGCUAGUUGGUGAGGUAACGGCUCACCAAGGCCGUGAUGCAUAGCCGACCUGAGAGGGUGAUCGGCCACAUUGGGACUGAGACACGGCCCAAACUCCUACGGGAGGCAGCAGUAGGGAAUCUUCCGCAAUGGACGCAAGCCUGACGGAGCAACGCCGCGUGAGUGAAGAAGGUUUUCGGAUCGUAAAACUCUGUUGUUAGAGAAGAACAAAUGCUAGAGUAACUGUUAGCGCCUUGACGGUAUCUAACCAGAAAGCCACGGCUAACUACGUG
rnacentral:rRNA from 1 species